rnacentral:rRNA from 1 species
GGCUACACACGUGCUACAAUGGGUAGUACAGAGAGUCGCAAAGCCGCGAGGUGGAGCUAAUCUCAGAAAACUAUUCUUAGUUCGGAUUGUACUCUGCAACUCGAGUACAUGAAGUUGGAAUCGCUAGUAAUCGCGAAUCAGCAAUGUCGCGGUGAAUACGUUCUCGGGUCUUGUACACACCGCCCGUCACACCACGAGAGUUGGUUGCACCUGAAGUAGCAGGCCUAACCGUAAGGAGGGAUGUUCCGAGGGUGUGAUUAGCGAUUGGGGUGAAGUCGUAACAAGGUAUCCGUACGGGAACGU